GGCCCUUCGGGGUACUCGAGCGGCGAACGGGUGAGUAACACGUGAGCAACCUGCCCCAGGCUUUGGGAUAACCCCGGGAAACCGGGGCUAAUACCGAAUAUGACCUUGCACCGCAUGGUGUUUGGUGGAAAGUUUUUCGGCUUGGGAUGGGCUCGCGGCCUAUCAGCUUGUUGGUGGGGUGAUGGCCUACCAAGGCGACGACGGGUAGCCGGCCUGAGAGGGCGACCGGCCACACUGGGACUGAGACACGGCCCAGACUCCUACGGGAGGCAGCAGUGGGGAAUAUUGCACAAUGGGCGGAAGCCUGAUGCAGCGACGCCGCGUGAGGGAUGACGGCCUUCGGGUUGUAAACCUCUUUCAGCAGGGACGAAGCGUAAGUGACGGUACCUGCAGAAGAAGCGCCGGCCAACUACGUGCCAGCAGCCGCGGUAAGACGUAGGGCGCGAGCGUUGUCCGGAUUUAUUGGGCGUAAAGAGCUCGUAGGCGGCUUGUCGCGUCGACCGUGAAAACCUGGGGCUCAACCCCAGGCCUGCGGUCGAUACGGGCAGGCUAGAGUUCGGUAGGGGAGACUGGAAUUCCUGGUGUAGCGGUGAAAUGCGCAGAUAUCAGAGGAACACCGGUGGCGAAGGCGGGUCUCUGGGCCGAUACUGACGCUGAGGAGCGAAAGCGUG
rnacentral:rRNA from 1 species